AUUGAACGCUGGCGGCAUGCUUUACACAUGCAAGUCGAACGGUAACAGGUUAAGCUGACGAGUGGCGAACGGGUGAGUAAUGCAUCGGAACGUGCCCGAUCGUGGGGGAUAACGCAGCGAAAGCUGCGCUAAUACCGCAUGCGAUCUGAGGAUGAAAGCGGGGGACCGUAAGGCCUCGCGCGAUCGGAGCGGCCGAUGUCAGAUUAGGUAGUUGGUGGGGUAAAGGCUCACCAAGCCAACGAUCUGUAGCUGGUCUGAGAGGACGACCAGCCACACUGGGACUGAGACACGGCCCAGACUCCUACGGGAGGCAGCAGUGGGGAAUUUUGGACAAUGGGCGAAAGCCUGAUCCAGCAAUGCCGCGUGCAGGAAGAAGGCCUUCGGGUUGUAAACUGCUUUUGUACGGAGCGAAAAGGCUCUCUCUAAUACAGGGGGCUCAUGACGGCACCGUAAGAAUAAGCACCGGCUAACUACGUGCCAGCAGCCGCGGUAA
rnacentral:rRNA from 1 species